GAUGAAGAACGUAGCGAAAUGCGAUAAGUAAUGUGAAUUGCAGAAUUCAGUGAAUCAUCGAAUCUUUGAACGCACAUUGCGCCCCCUGGUAUUCCGGGGGGCAUGCCUGUCCGAGCGUCAUUACAACCCUCAAGCUCAGCUUGGUGUUGGGCCCGGCCGCCCCGGCGGGCCCUAAAGUCAGUGGCGGUGCUGUCCGGCUCCGAGCGUAGUAAUUCUUCUCGCUCUGGAGGUCCGGUCGUGUGCUCGCCAGCAACCCCCAAUUUUUUUCAGGUUGACCUCGGAUCAGGUAGGGAUACCCGCUGAACUUAAGCAUAUCAAUAAGCGGAGGA
rnacentral:misc_RNA from 1 species